rnacentral:rRNA from 1 species
GAGAGUUUGAUCAUGGCUCAGGAUUAACGCUGGCGGCGUGCGUAACACAUGCAAGUCGAACGGUAUUUUGAAAGGAAAAGGCUACGGUCUUGGAAAGACAAGAGAGAGUGGCGAACGGGUGAGUAACGCGUGAGCAACCUGCCUUCCACAAAGGGAUAGCUGCCGGAAACGGUAAUUAAUACCAUAUGAAGUUAACGAAUCGCAUGAUAAGGGAACUAAAGAGAAAUCGGUGGAAGAUGGGCUCGCGUCCGAUUAGCUGGUUGGAGAGAUAACAGCUCACCAAGGCGAUGAUCGGUAGCCGGCUUGAGAGAGUGAACGGCCACACUGGAACUGAGAGACGGUCCAGACUCCUAUGGGAGGCAGCAGUGGGGAAUUUUGCACAAUGGGGGGAACCCUGAUGCAGCGACGCCGCGUGAGCGAAGAAGGAAUUCGUUUCGUAAAGCUCUGUCCUAUGGAAAGAUAAUGACGGUACCAUAGGAGGAAGUCCCGGCUAACUACGUGCCAGCAGCCGCGGUAAUACGUAGGGGGCGAGCGUUGUCCGGAAUUAUUGGGCGUAAAGGGUACGCAGGCGGUCUAAGAAGUCAGAUGUUAAAGCGUAGGGCUUAACCCUAUAAAGCAUAUGAAACUGAUAGACUUGAGUAAAGGAGAGGAAAGUGGAAUUCCUGGUGUAGCGGUGAAAUGCGUAGAUAUCAGGAGGAAUACCGGUGGCGAAGGCGACUUUCUGGACUUUAACUGACGCUGAGGUACGAAAGCGCGGGGAGCAAACAGGAUUAGAUACCCUGGUAGUCCGCGCCGUAAACGAUGAAUGCUAGGUAUUGGGAGUCAAAUCUCAGUGCCGAAGUAAACACAUUAAGCAUUCCGCCUGGGGAGUACGGUGGCAACACUGAAACUCAAAGGAAUUGACGGGGACCCGCACAAGCAGCGGAGCACGUGGUUUAGUUCGAUGCAACGCGAAGAACCUUACCUGGUCUUGACAUCCCGGAGACGCCCAUGAAAGUGGGUGGUGCCUUCUUUGAAGGAAUCCGGAGACAGGUGCUGCAUGGCUGUCGUCAGCUCGUGUCGUGAGAUGUUGGGUUAAGUCCCGCAACGAGCGCAACCCUUGCCUUCAGUUGCCAGCGGUUCGGCCGGGCACUCUGAAGGGACUGCCGGUGUCAAACCGGAGGAAGGCGGGGAUGACGUCAAGUCCUCAUGGCCCUUAUGACCAGGGCUACACACGUACUACAAUGGCCGGUACAAAGGGGAGCGACAUUGCGAAAUGGAGCCAAUCCCGGAAAGCCGGUCUCAGUCCGGAUUGGAGUCUGCAACUCGACUCCAUGAAGUUGGAAUCGCUAGUAAUCGUGGAUCAGCAUGCCACGGUGAAUACGUUCCCGGGCCUUGUACACACCGCCCGUCACACCACGGGAGUCGGUUGUACCAGAAGCAGUUGAGCUAACCGCAAGGGGGCAGGCUGCCAAGGUACGGCUGGUAACUGGGGUGAAGUCGUAACAAGGUAGCCCUAGGGGAACCUGCGGCUGGAUCACCU